AUCCAGAUGACGAGUUCCAAAUAGGACGAAAUGAAUGUUAUUCUGGAU
rnacentral:hammerhead_ribozyme from 1 species